rnacentral:rRNA from 1 species
AGGGCAUGCCUCAGUAGCGGCGAGUGAGCGGCAAGAGCUCAGAUUUGAAAUCUCACCUAGUGUGCGAGUUGUAAAUUGCAGGUUGGAGUCUCGGGUUAGACGUGUGUGCAAGUCCCUUGGAACAGGGCGCCACUGAGGGUGAGAGCCCCGUAGCGUGCAUGUCGACACCUGUGAGGCCCUUCUGACGAGUCGAGUUGUUUGGGAAUGCAGCUCUAAGUGGGUGGUAAAUUCCAUCUAAGGCUAAAUAUUGGCGAGAGACCGAUAGCGAACAAGUACUGUGAAGGAAAGAUGAAAAGCACUUUGAAAAGAGAGUGAAACAGCACGUGAAAUUGUUGAAAGGGAAGGGUAUUGGGCUCGACAUGGGAUUUACGCAUCGUUGCCUCUCGUGGGCGGCGCUCUGGGUUUUUCCUGGGCCAGCAUCGGUUUUCGUUGCAGGAUAAGGACAAUUGGAAUGUGGCUCCUCGGAGUGUUAUAGCCUUUUGUAGAUGCUGCGUAUGGGGACCGAGGGCUGCGGCGGACUCGUUUCGUCUCGGAUGCUGGCACAACGGCGCAAUACCGCCCGUCUUGA